CCACAGUCUUGGACAUCAGAAAAAGGAAGAAAAUACGGAAGGCUUCACGAAUUGGCCCGUCAUCCUUGUGCAGGGGCCGUGCUGAUCUCCACAUCGUUCCAAUUUUAGUGUAUGUGCUGCUGAACUCAUUAUCUAUUUCAUUGUUGGAUCUGAAGUCUCCGCAAAUCACGCUGUGGGAUCUGUGGCUAUGCUCUGUACACCGUGGACGUGACUACAAUGAACACGUUUGCCAACCCCUGCACGCUGGAGUCCAAGACCAGAAGUCCUGCAGUUCACUUCCGGCUACACGUCCUGCCUCACAGGAGUAAGACCUUGGCAACGCUUCACCGAUGACCCAACAGGACAGAGACGGACAGAGGCAGAAUGCAGCCCCCACAGAGCACAUUUAACCUUCCAGCGGGGCCACGUCUGUCAAACAGAGGAAAUGAGUUUCUGUGACGCUCUCUCUCUUCCUCUUCUGAUAAAAUCAAAUUGAGUCUCAGAGGAACCCAAAGGCUUCUCCAUAGGACAGUUCAUAACAAGGCAGUGUACUUCAUCAGAACAAGCAAGUAAGAAGAGCUGGGGAGAAAGAGAGAAGAGGAGAUGGAAGUUACACACUCUUGGGAGCUAAUCUCAGAAGUGAUCGCUCAUCACUUGUGCCGUAUGUACUGAUUAGAAGUGAGUACCUAAUUUCAGCCACUAAAGGAGAAGGGAUAAUACAAGGAAGGGUGUGGUGGGAACACCAGG
rnacentral:lncRNA from 13 species